rnacentral:rRNA from 1 species
GGUUAAGCGACUAAGCGUACACGGUGGAUGCCCUGGCAGUCAGAGGCGAUGAAGGACGUGCUAAUCUGCGAAAAGCGUCGGUAAGGUGAUAUGAACCGUUAUAACCGGCGAUGUCCGAAUGGGGAAACCCAGUGCAAUUCGUUGCACUAUCGUUAACUGAAUACAUAGGUUAACGAGGCGAACCGGGGGAACUGAAACAUCUAAGUACCCCGAGGAAAAGAAAUCAACCGAGAUUCCCCCAGUAGCGGCGAGCGAACGGGGAGCAGCCCAGAGUCUGAAUCAGCUUGUGUGUUAGUGGAACGGUCUGGAAAGUCCGACGGUACAGGGUGAUAGUCCCGUACACCAAAAUGCACAGGCUGUGAACUCGAAGAGUAGGGCGGGACACGUGGUAUCCUGUCUGAAUAUGGGGGGACCAUCCUCCAAGGCUAAAUACUCCUGACUGACCGAUAGUGAACCAGUACCGUGAGGGAAAGGCGAAAAGAACCCCGGCGAGGGGAGUGAAAAAGAACCUGAAACCGUGUACGUACAAGCAGUGGGAGCACCUUCGGGUGUGACUGCGUACCUUUUGUAUAAUGGGUCAGCGACUUAUAUUCUGUAGCAAGGUUAACCGUAUAGGGGAGCCGCAGGGAAACCGAGUCUUAACUGGGCGUUAAGUUGCAGGGUAUAGACCCGAAACCCGGUGAUCUAGCCAUGGGCAGGUUGAAGGUUGGGUAACACUAACUGGAGGACCGAACCGACUAAUGUUGAAAAAUUAGCGGAUGACUUGUGGCUGGGGGUGAAAGGCCAAUCAAACCGGGAGAUAGCUGGUUCUCCCCGAAAGCUAUUUAGGUAGCGCCUCGUGAAUUCAUCUUCGGGGGUAGAGCACUGUUUCGGCUAGGGGGUCAUCCCGACUUACCAACCCGAUGCAAACUACGAAUACCGAAGAAUGUUAUCACGGGAGACACACGGCGGGUGCUAACGUCCGUCGUGAAGAGGGAAACAACCCAGACCGCCAGCUAAGGUCCCAAAGUCAUGGUUAAGUGGGAAACGAUGUGGGAAGGCACAGACAGCCAGGAUGUUGGCUUAGAAGCAGCCAUCAUUUAAAGAAAGCGUAAUAGCUCACUGGUCGAGUCGGCCUGCGCGGAAGAUGUAACGGGGCUAAACCAUGCACCGAAGCUGCGGCAGCGACACUAUGUGUUGUUGGGUAGGGGAGCGUUCUGUAAGCCUGCGAAGGUGUGCUGUGAGGCAUGCUGGAGGUAUCAGAAGUGCGAAUGCUGACAUAAGUAACGAUAAAGCGGGUGAAAAGCCCGCUCGCCGGAAGACCAAGGGUUCCUGUCCAACGUUAAUCGGGGCAGGGUGAGUCGACCCCUAAGGCGAGGCCGAAAGGCGUAGUCGAUGGGAAACAGGUUAAUAUUCCUGUACUUGGUGUUACUGCGAAGGGGGGACGGAGAAGGCUAUGUUAGCCGGGCGACGGUUGUCCCGGUUUAAGCAUGUAGGCUGAUUGUCCAGGCAAAUCCGGAUAAUCAAGGCUGAGGUGUGAUGACGAGGCACUACGGUGCUGAAGUAACAAAUGCCCUGCUUCCAGGAAAAGCCUCUAAGCAUCAGGUAACAUCAAAUCGUACCCCAAACCGACACAGGUGGUCAGGUAGAGAAUACCAAGGCGCUUGAGAGAACUCGGGUGAAGGAACUAGGCAAAAUGGUGCCGUAACUUCGGGAGAAGGCACGCUGGUGUGUAGGUGAAGCCCCUGCGGAUGGAGCUGAGACCAGUCGAAGAUACCAGCUGGCUGCAACUGUUUAUUAAAAACACAGCACUGUGCAAACACGAAAGUGGACGUAUACGGUGUGACGCCUGCCCGGUGCCGGAAGGUUAAUUGAUGGGGUUAUCCGUAAGGAGAAGCUCUUGAUCGAAGCCCCGGUAAACGGCGGCCGUAACUAUAACGGUCCUAAGGUAGCGAAAUUCCUUGUCGGGUAAGUUCCGACCUGCACGAAUGGCGUAAUGAUGGCCAGGCUGUCUCCACCCGAGACUCAGUGAAAUUGAACUCGCUGUGAAGAUGCAGUGUACCCGCGGCAAGACGGAAAGACCCCGUGAACCUUUACUAUAGCUUGACACUGAACAUUGAGCCUUGAUGUGUAGGAUAGGUGGGAGGCUUUGAAGCGUGGACGCCAGUCUGCGUGGAGCCAACCUUGAAAUACCACCCUUUAAUGUUUGAUGUUCUAACGUUGGCCCCUUACCGGGGUUGCGGACAGUGUCUGGUGGGUAGUUUGACUGGGGCGGUCUCCUCCCAAAGCGUAACGGAGGAGCACGAAGGUUAGCUAAUCCUGGUCGGACAUCAGGAGGUUAGUGCAAUGGCAUAAGCUAGCUUGACUGCGAGCGUGACGGCGCGAGCAGGUGCGAAAGCAGGUCAUAGUGAUCCGGUGGUUCUGAAUGGAAGGGCCAUCGCUCAACGGAUAAAAGGUACUCCGGGGAUAACAGGCUGAUACCGCCCAAGAGUUCAUAUCGACGGCGGUGUUUGGCACCUCGAUGUCGGCUCAUCACAUCCUGGGGCUGAAGUAGGUCCCAAGGGUAUGGCUGUUCGCCAUUUAAAGUGGUACGCGAGCUGGGUUUAGAACGUCGUGAGACAGUUCGGUCCCUAUCUGCCGUGGGCGCUGGAGAAUUGAGGGGGGCUGCUCCUAGUACGAGAGGACCGGAGUGGACGCAUCACUGGUGUUCGGGUUGUCAUGCCAAUGGCACUGCCCGGUAGCUAAAUGCGGAAGAGAUAAGUGCUGAAAGCAUCUAAGCACGAAACUUGCCCCGAGAUGAGUUCUCCCUGAGACUUUAAGUCUCCUGAAGGAACGUUAAAGACGAUGACGUUGAUAGGCCGGGUGUGUAAGCGCAGCGAUGCGUUGAGCUAACCGGUACUAAUGAACCGUGAGGCUUAACCUU